AAACCAUAUGACAAUUUUGGAUAAAUUUCUCACGACGGUCAUCUGAGACACCUCAAUGUGUCAUAAUUGAUGCUAUCAUCCAAUGUUUAUGAUGGUU